rnacentral:rRNA from 1 species
GGAUUAGAUACCCUGGUAGUCCAUGCUGUAAACGAUGUGUGCUAGACGUUGGAAAUUUAAUUUUCAGUGUCGCAGCAAAAGCGUUAAGCACACCGCCUGGGGAGUACGACCGCAAGGUUAAAACUCAAAUGAAUUGACGGGGGCCCGCACAAGCGGUGGAGCAUGUGGUUUAAUUCGAUGCAACGCGAAGAACCUUACCUACCCUUAACAUCCUUGGAAUUCUCUAGAGAUAGAGAAGUGCCUUCGGGAAUCAAGUGAUAGGUGCUGCAUGGCUGUCGUCAGCUCGUGCCG